CGCAAGGAAAAUUAACCCGCGGCUGCCGUCACCUGACCACAUGUCCGGGUAAGUCACGUGUGUGGAGGCUCAAAUGCAGCAAUGCGUAGCUGUAGUGUCUCUGUGAUUUACGAACAUAUAUAAAGAGGAUUGGAUCCCCGCAAAAUGCGCAUGUCAGUGUUCGUGUUGAAGUUUAACCUGUGACGUAGAGGAGCUCGUUACCAUGGAGCCUGGCGACAGACGAAGGGGUUCCCCUCUAUGGCAGCACUUUGAGCUGAUCUCUCCCAGUAAGAUCCUUUGACAAGUCUUUUGCUGCCCCCAUGACUCGGGACCGAACAACGUCGGUGCAGCACUGGACCUGCAGCGUCAGUCUGAAGGCCUGAAACUCCUCCCACGCUGAUCACAGACAUCAGCAGGAUCGAGGAUGACCCCCCCCCAAGUCUGAGGACGUUCCCCGCCACAUGAAUGGGGGACAGGAGGCGCAGCUUCCAGCCCAGCUGGUGGGAAAGUCCUCCGUGGGUGGACUUCUCUGUAACUAUGGACUCUGCCUGUUGUCAUGCGUGCAGACGUUUCAGUCCAUAGACAUUUCAGCCAGUGCUUUUUAAACAUUAACUGUGCACAUGUGCGGGAUGUGAAAUCUUCUGUUUCAUUGUUAAAUGUUCAUUCACUUUGUUUGUGCUCCAAAUAAAUUCCCUUCAUAGAUGAAA